rnacentral:lncRNA from 1 species
AAAGACGUCAACCUGAAAAUGCUCUCUGUAGACCUCUUCGGCUUCCAGGAUUUUUUCUUUGGUCACUACUUUACCUUUUAAAUAUUUAAGGAGAAUGUACUGCAACCCGUAAAACACAGUUUCCUCAUUUUCCACCUUCCUGAAUUUGGAGUUUCCUGGUCGUUUCCCGCGGCAUUCAAAGUACGAAUAAACUUUGCUUGUGUUUGGUGGAUAUUGCUUGUAGUGAGUUGCCUUGUAGGAAUCGGUGGCGAGAAGGAUGUUGAACUCGGCUCCGACUUGGGAAUCCAUCUCGGCGCGUGGGCAGGGGAAUUGCUGAUCCAGCUGGGUGAAGAGAAGCACAGGCUGCUGAGAUUUAAAUGCUCACGGCUGAAGAGGGAGGGAGAAAUCUGGCCCUGCCCAGACCCCGCCUUCUCUGACGUCAGAGUCAGAGCACUCCACACUUGUCUAUCUCACCCCCACCCCCAAGACGUGUGAGGGCGGGGGAAGAGGCGAAUUGGGACCCACAAGGUAGGAUGGAGAGGUCAGGGGGACUUUUGCUGCUGGGUCUGAAGGCAAGUGAGAUCUGGGGCUGGUCUUGACCCGUGCUGGUUAGAUUUGGGAUUUGGCCAUCUUCAAUUAUUUUCUCUUUCAAAGAGUCCAUCUGAAGAUCAGGCUUUGAAUGACAAGAACCUUUCUAUUUGUAGCCCCAGUCUUUUCUCCUGACAAUCCACUGAUGUCACCUGGGAAAUCAAGUGUGCACAAUGCUGUUAUAUGAAGACUUUGGGGAGGCUAGAAGAACUGGGGCAGGAACCAAUUCAAGAUCCUCUGAACCUUCUUGGUGUUUUUUUUUUUUUUUUUUUUUUGUUUUGUUUUUUCCUUAUUGGAAUUCCAGUUUCAGUCUCCAUCCUUCUAUGAUUCCUGCAAUCCUGUGGCUGGUUGCGAUAGCUUGUUCGGGCCCGACCCAAUCUUUUCUCAAAUGCUCCAAGGCAGCUAGUUUCUUCAGAUCCUCUGACUAAAGGUCCUCCUAGUCCUGAACUGGCCUCUAGUGGCCAU